CAAUAGCGUAUAUUAAAGUUGUUGCAGUUAAAAAGCUCGUAGUUGGAUUUCUGGUUGAAGCGACCGGUCGGGCGUUGAUUCGUCUGCACUGGAGUCGGUUUUGGCCAUCCUCUAGGAAAGUGCGUCUGGUAUUAAGUUAUCGGGCGUAUGAUCCUGGUCUUUUACUGUGAAAAAAUUAGAGUGUUCAAAGCAGGCCUUCGCCUUGAAUACAUUAGCAUGGAAUAAUAAGAUAGGACUUUGGUCUAUUUUGUUGGUUUGCAGACCGAAGUAAUGAUUAAUAGGGAUAGUUGGGGGUAUUUAUAUUCCGAUGUCAGAGGUGAAAUUCUUAGAUUUUCGGAAGAUAAACUUAUGCGAAAGCAUUUACCAAGGAUGUUUUCAUUA
rnacentral:rRNA from 1 species